UCUUGACUAGUAUAUCGGUUUAGUACACGCGCUUGUCAUGAUGUCAAUCACACCGUGUCCGCGCGAAAGCUGGGUUCGACUCCCAGGUCGAGAG